rnacentral:lncRNA from 1 species
AAUGUUGUAAGCCACCAUGUGGAUGCUGGGAAUUGGACCUAAGUCCUUUGGAAGAGUAGCCAUUGCUCUUAGCCACUAAGACAUCUAUCUCUCCUGUUUAGUUUCUCUUAUAUAAUUACAUUUAUUACAGUGUGUAUGUAUGAGUGUUGUGAGGGGUAGGGCAUGCCGUGGCAUGCUUGUGGAGGUCAGAAGAUGAUUCUGUGGAGUUGGUUCUGUUGGUUCUGGGACUUGAACUUGGGUUUCCAAGCCUGUGUGGCAAGCACCCUUACGUGCUGAGCUGUCUAGCCAGCCCUAGCUUGAGAACCCGCCAAGGUGUUUCCUAUUAUGGAUGUACUAGUUUUUGUGUUCCCAAUAGCCGUGCGUGAGAGCUCCCGUUCCCGCACAUCCUUGUAGCAUGUACUAUCUAUUUCUUCUGCACAAGCCAUUCUAACUGUAAGUGGCAUCUCAUGGUUUGAUCUACAUUGCUGUGAUGACAAGUGAUGUUGAAUAUUUUUUCAUGUACUUGUUAAAUCCUUUGGUGUCUUUUUUUUUUUUUUUUGAGAAAUGUCAGAACAUUUGUCGAUUUUUAGUUGGAUUAUUACUGUUUUGCUGUUGAACUUCUAUUUGUUCUGGACUCUAAUCCCUUGCUGGAGGAAUAGUUUGCAAAUAUUUUCUCCCUUUCUCUAAGUUGCCUUUUGUUGAUUGCUUUUAAGUUUGAUAUAAUCCCAUUGGUCAAUUUUUGGUUUUGUUUCCUGGUCCUAGCAAUAUUUGUAGAAGAAAGUAUUCUUUUCCUUUGAAUUGUUUGGGUUUCUUCUCAAAACCUUGAUUUUUUUUUUUCCUCAGAACUGCCCCCUCCCUACUAUUAGACCGUGGAGACAAGGUCUUACUAUCUAGCCCAGGUUGGCCUCUAAUUCUCUUGUCCUGAGUUCUAAGAUUACAGAUGUGCCUCACUACAUCUGGUGCUAAACACUUUAAAAUGGGAAUUUAAAAGUUCCUUGGUCAUGUGACGACUUAGUCAACCCAGGUUAACCUUAAGGAUUUUCUUCCCAGCUCGUCACUUAACAAGAAUGUUCAUAGAGCCUAGCUUCCUGGUAGAGCUGUAAACGUCAAGACUAUUCGUGAGCUAACACUAGACACACUUUAAAAAAAAUCUCUACCAAUCUUCAGUAAGGGCAUUGUCUAUUAAUUAAAUGGCCCUCUGAAUAAGAGUUAAUCAUGGAAAUUAACUAACCUAUGAAGAAUUGGCUGCUAUGGGAGAGCCUAAACUUAACCAUGUCAGCAAUCACAAAAGAGCCAGGAGUCUGAACAUCUCAGAGGACACAAGCAAGACCCAACCACAGGCUGCCUGGAAGAAACAAACUUUAACUAUAAAGGACACAGACAGUUUAAAGGUAAAGAAUGGGGGCUGGGAAUAUAGAUCAGUUGGUAGAAUGCUUACCUAGCAUGCAUGAAGGUCGUGAGUUCAAGCCUGAGUGUCUUGUCCCGGUACUAGGAAGACAGAGGCAGGAGAAUCAGAAAUUCAGCAUUAUUCUCAGCUGAGUGUUUUGUUUUGUUUUGUUUUGUUUUGUUUUGUUUUGUUUUGUUUUGUUUUUCUGAGUUCAAGGGCGGCCUAAGAUCCAUGAGACUGUCUCUUUUUGGUUCUUUAGAGGAGUAAAGAUGACAAAUAUAUAUUAUGCUUAUACCAAACCAACCUGGUUAAUCAUAUUGGGGAAAAAUGACAUCAAAGAAAAGAAUGUUACUAUUGGCGGAACAGUUCAUUGUUUAAUGGGAAGAAGCUAAGGUAAUAAAAAGGUGUAAUCCU